rnacentral:rRNA from 1 species
GACCAGACUCCUACGGGAGGCAGCAGUGAGGAAUAUUGGUCAAUGGGCUUACGCCUGAACCAGCCAAGUCGCGUGAGGGAAGACUGCCCUAUGGGUCGUAAACCUCUUUUGUCAGGGAGCAACGCCGGCUACGUGUAGCCGGACUGAGAGUACCUGAAGAAAAAGCAUCGGCUAACUCCGUGCCAGCAGCCGCGGUAAUACGGAGGAUGCGAGCGUUAUCCGGAUUUAUUGGGUUUAAAGGGUGCGCAGGCGGAGGUGCAAGUCAGUGGUCAAAUUGCGGGGCUCAACCCCGUACUGCCGUUGAAACUGCAUCCCUUGAGUGCGCGAGAAGUAUGCGGAAUGCGUGGUGUAGCGGUGAAAUGCUUAGAUAUCACGAAGAACUCCGAUUGCGAAGGCAGCUUACUAAACUGCCACUGACAUUGAUGCUCGAAAGUGUGGGUAUCAAACAGGAUUAGAUACCCCGGUA